CUGAUGUACUUCACAGUUUCCUUCCUUUAUUUCGCGUAUUCAAAGAUGGCCGUGUCGAAAGGUUCAGUCAAACUCCCUUCACCCCUCCGUCUGAUUCGGAAGAUCCGAACGCCGUCACCGGCGGUGUCCGAUCAAAAGACAUCGUCAUCUCACCGGAAAACAAGGUAGGAGCACGGCUAUUCCUUCCCAAAACAAUCAAACCCGAUGAGAGACGUCCCCUCCUCAUCUACAUCCACGGUGGUGCCUUCGCCAUCGAAUCGGCCUUCUCCAUUCAAUACCAUAACUACGUUAGCUCCCUCGUAGCCGAGGCGAAUAUCAUCGCCGUGUCCGUCGAAUACAGGUUGGCUCCGGAGCACCCCGUGCCCGCGUGCUACGACGAUUCCUGGGCAGUGAUUAAUUGGGUCACAGCUCAUGCCAAAGAUAGACAAGGCCCCGAUUUAUGGAUUAAUAAUCACGCCGACUUCACCAAAGUCUUCUUCUCCGGCGACAGCGCUGGAGGUAACAUUGCCCAUAACAUGGCAGUGAGAGCAGGCCAAGAUGGGCUGGGCGACGGCGUAAAGCUCGAGGGAGUGAUUUUGAUGCAUCCCUUUUUCGGUGAUGGGAAGCCUAAUAAACUUUGGGAGCUUAUCUGUUCAGACUUUAAGGGAUGGGAGGAUCCAAGGCUGAAUCCGAUGGCUCAUCCGGGUUCGUUAUCGAGCCUCGUUUGUGGCAAGAUUCUGAUUUGCAUAUCCGAGAAAGAUAUCAUCAGGGAGAGUGGUCAGCUUUACUAUGAGGCCUUGAAGAAAAACGGAUGGAAAGGUGAGUUGGAUUUGGUGGACAUUGAAGAGGAGGGUCAUGUUUUCCACCUCUUGAACCCAGAUUGUCACCGCGCCGGAGUCUUGAU
rnacentral:lncRNA from 1 species